GAUUAUGGCUCAGAACGAACGCUGGCGGCGCGUUUAAGCAUGCAAGUCGAGCGGCAAGGGCCUUCGGGCCCCUAGAGCGGCGGACGGGUGAGUAACACGUGGACAAUCUGCCCCCCGGCCCGGGAUAGCCCAGGGAAACCUGGAUUAAUACCGGAUGAGACGGGACCCGCGAUGGCGGGAUCCGGGAAAGGCGCUGCGGCGCCGCCGGGGGAUGAGUCUGCGUCCCAUUAGCUAGACGGCGGGGUAACGGCCCACCGUGGCGACGAUGGGUAGCCGGCCUGAGAGGGUGGACGGCCACAUUGGAACUGAGACACGGUCCAGACUCCUACGGGAGGCAGCAGCUAAGAAUCUUCCGCAAUGGGCGAAAGCCUGACGGAAGCGACGCCGCGUGAACGAGGAAGGCCGUGAGGUUGUAAAGUUCUUUUCGGGAGGGGGAACAACCGUGGCAGGGAAUGGCCGCGGGAUGACGUGAAUCCCGGAAUAAGCCCCGGCUAACUACGUGCCAGCCGCCGC
rnacentral:rRNA from 1 species